rnacentral:pre_miRNA from 1 species
CAUCUACUCCCUCUGUUUCGAAUUACUUGUUGCGGGCAUGGAUGUAUCUAGAUGUAUUUUAGUUCUAGAUACAUCCAUUUCUGCGACGAGUAAUUUGGAACGGAUGGAGUAGUGA